AGUAUUCAAUGGUAUGUACGGUUAUUAGAUUAAGAUUAAUUAUUGUAAUUUUUCUAAAUGUUUUCUUUUAGAAUAUUAAGCAAAUUCUAACUUCAAAGACAGCAGGGAUGACUGUGAUCAAAGUGUAUGAAGACACUGGGAGUUUGAAAGAUUCCACAAGGCGGAUAAUGGAGAGCUGUUAGUAAAGCAACAAAAGAGUUCCAUGCCCUUGGGAUUGUGUCCCUGUUCCCGUCUUUGAAAGACCCAUAUUCUAAAAAAGGAUAUGAACAUUUCUAUGACAUUCAGAGCAACAAAGGCUGUCUUGAGUGGCGUAUAAAGACCGUGCAACGUAAAUCCAGAACCAC